rnacentral:rRNA from 1 species
CAGUAGCCGCGGUAAUACAGAGGGUGCGAGCGUUAAUCGGAUUUACUGGGCGUAAAGCGUGCGUAGGCGGCUUUUUAAGUCGGAUGUGAAAUCCCUGAGCUUAACUUAGGAAUUGCAUUCGAUACUGGGAAGCUAGAGUAUGGGAGAGGAUGGUAGAAUUCCAGGUGUAGCGGUGAAAUGCGUAGAGAUCUGGAGGAAUACCGAUGGCGAAGGCAGCCAUCUGGCCUAAUACUGACGCUGAGGUACGAAAGCAUGGGGAGCAAACAGGAUUAGAGACCUCUGUAGUCCCUGUCUCUUAUAU